CCUACGGGUGGCAGCAGUGGGGAAUAUUGCACAAUGGGGGAAACCCUGAUGCAGCGACGCCGCGUGAGUGAAGAAGUAUUUCGGUAUGUAAAGCUCUAUCAGCAGGGAAGAAAAUGACGGUACCUGACCAAGAAGCCCCGGCUAACUACGUGCCAGCAGCCGCGGUAAUACGUAGGGGGCAAGCGUUAUCCGGAUUUACUGGGUGUAAAGGGAGCGUAGACGGCUGAGCAAGUCAGAAGUGAAAGCCCGGGGCUCAACCCCGGGACUGCUUUUGAAACUGCAUGGCUGGAGUGCAGGAGAGGUAAGCGGAAUUCCUGGUGUAGCGGUGAAAUGCGUAGAUAUCAGGAGGAACACCAGUGGCGAAGGCGGCUUACUGGACUGUAACUGACGUUGAGGCUCGAAAGCGUGGGGAGCAAACAGGAUUAGAUACCCUAGUAGUC
rnacentral:rRNA from 1 species